rnacentral:rRNA from 1 species
UUUCGCCUACGGGGCGCAGCAGUGGGGGAUAUUGCACAAUGGGGGGAACCCUGAUGCAGCGACGCUGCGUGGGUGAAGAAGCGCCUCGGCGCGUAAAGCCCUGUCAGCAGGGAAGAAAAUGACGGUACCUGCAAAGGAAGCACCGGCCAACUCCGUGCCAGCAGCCGCGGUAAUACGUAGGGGGCAAGCGUUAUCCGGAUUUACUGGGUGUAAAGGGGGCGCAGACGGCGAUGCAAGCCAGGAGUGAAAGCCCGGGGCCCAACCCCGGGACUGCUCUUGGAACUGCGUGGCUAGAGGGCAGGAGG